AUUCGCCGAAGUAAAUUGUAGAGGGCGUAAGAAAGACUAAUUAUUUUCUAGGUCGGUAUUUCAGAACGUGAGACUUGAAGUUCCGUGUAAUAUCAGGUCUAUACUGUACAUAGUCAAUGAUCAAACGUAAAAUUUUUUCCAUUUUAUUAAUAAUUUUUUAUUAAUUUCAACGUAGUUUGUGAUCAUAUGUAUGUAUAUCGAUUUUGAGUUUUAAAGAUUUGUCAUUUAUAAUCUACAAUAAAAAUGAAAAAAUUAUAGUGUAGUUAUUAAAAAAAUAAAUAAUUUUUUUCAGAGAACCCACUCCGAAGGAUUGGUUGGGAAUUCCCUAUGAUUGGUCAGGGAUGCUCUGGGAGGUGUUGAGUAUAUCCUGGCAUAACCGUUCUCCGUAGCAAGUGCAGAAGGAAAGAUCAGUUUAGCUGAGACUAGCGUUGAGUUCACUUCAUAUUGUGUUGUUUAACUACUGGUAUAAGAACUAAGAAAAUUAUUUGUUAUAAUGUGUUGCAUUUAUAAACAUAAUAAUAGUGCGUGUCAGUGUAUUAAUACAUUAAAAUAUUUGAGUAUUAUUUAAAUAUAACGUUUACUCAUAUAUAUAUUUUUAGUUUACAUAAAAGUAAUUUAUUUUGAUUAAAAAAUGAAACUGAAUGCAAAGAAAGUUUAGAAGUUUCAAUAUAAAUUUCAUCUUUUGUCUUUCUAUUCCAAUACCUGUAAUUAUUUGUGAAAUAUAGUGUUUUAUAUUAUAUUUAUUUUCAUAUCACAAGAACAAGUAACGAGUACAAUUUAUUUUUUACAAAGAUAUAUUUAUAUAAACAAGAAAAAUAAAGAACAUAUUGGUGAUUUUUUUUUUA